CCUACGGGCGGCACCAGUAGGGAAUCUUCGGCAAUGGACGAAAGUCUGACCGAGCAACGCCGCGUGAGUGAAGAAGGUCUUCGGAUCGUAAAACUCUGUUGUUAGAGAAGAACAAGGACGUCAGUAACUGAACGUCCCCUGACGGUAUCUAACCAGAAAGCCACGGCUAACUACGUGCCAGCAGCCGCGGUAAUACGUAGGUGGCAAGCGUUGUCCGGAUUUAUUGGGCGUAAAGCGAGCGCAGGCGGUUUCUUAAGUCUGAUGUGAAAGCCCCCGGCUCAACCGGGGAAGGUCAUUGGAAACUGGGAGACUUGAGUGCAGAAGAGGAGAGUGGAAUUCCAUGUGUAGCGGUGAAAUGCGUAGAUAUAUGGAGGAACACCAGUGGCGAAGGCGGCUCUCUGGUCUGUAACUGACGCUGAGGCUCGAAAGUGUGGGGAGCAAACAGGAUUAGAUACCCUGGUAGUC
rnacentral:rRNA from 1 species